rnacentral:rRNA from 1 species
ACAACGAAGAGUUUGAUCCUGGCUCAGGAUGAACGCUAGCGGCAGGCUUAACACAUGCAAGUCGAGGGGCAGUCCCGCUUCCGAGCGGG